UACGGGAGGCAGCAGUGGGGAAUAUUGCACAAUGGGCGAAAGCCUGAUGCAGCUAUGCCGCGUGUAUGAAGAAGGCCUUAGGGUUGUAAAGUACUUUCAUCGGGGAGGAAAAAACAAAACUAAUAAUUUUAUUUCUUGACGUUACCCGAAAAAGAAGCACCGGCUAACUCCGUGCCAGCAGCCGCGGUAAUACGGAGGGUGCUAGCGUUAAUCAGAAUUACUGGGCGUAAAGAGCACGUAGGUGGUUUUUUUAAGUCAGAUGUGAAAUCCCUGGGCUUAACCUGGAACUGCAUUUUGAAACUGAAAUACUAGAGUAUCGUAGAGGGAGGUAGAAUUCUAGGUGUAGCGGUGAAAUGCGUAGAUAUCUGGAGGAAUACCUGUGGCGAAAGCGGCCUCCUAAACGAAUACUGACACUGAGGUGCGAAAGCGUGGGGAGCAAACGAGGAUUAGAUACCCGU
rnacentral:rRNA from 1 species